UAGGGAAUCUUCGGCAAUGGACGAAAGUCUGACCGAGCAACGCCGCGUGAGUGAAGAAGGUUUUCGGAUCGUAAAACUCUGUUGUUAGAGAAGAACAAGGACGUUAGUAACUGAACGUCCCCUGACGGUAUCUAACCAGAAAGCCACGGCUAACUACGUGCCAGCAGCCGCGGUAAUACGUAGGUGGCAAGCGUUGUCCGGAUUUAUUGGGCGUAAAGCGAGAGCAGGCGGUUUCUUAAGUCUGAUGUGAAAGCCCCCGGCUCAACCGGGGAGGGUCAUUGGAAACUGGGAGACUUGAGUGCAGAAGAGGAGAGUGGAAUUCCAUGUGUAGCGGUGAAAUGCGUAGAUAUAUGGAGGAACACCAGUGGCGAAGGCGGCUGUCUGGUCUGUAACUGACGCUGAGGCUCGAAAGCGUGGGGAGCAAACAGG
rnacentral:rRNA from 1 species